rnacentral:rRNA from 1 species
GAUCAUGGCUCAGGAUGAACGCUAGCUACAGGCUUAACACAUGCAAGUCGAGGGGAAACGACAUCGAAAGCUUGCUUUUUGAUGGGCGUCGACCGGCGCACGGGUGAGUAACGCGUAUCCAACCUGCCCACCACUUGGGGAUAACCUUGCGAAAGUAAGACUAAUACCCAAUGACAUCCCACGAAGACAUCUGAAAGAGAUUAAAGAUUUAUCGGUGAUGGAUGGGGAUGCGU